GACGUAGGGGGCGAGCGUUGUCCGGAUUCAUUGGGCGUAAAGAGCGCGUAGGCGGCCCGGAAAGUGGGGUGGGAAAACCCGAGGCUCAACCUCGGGCGUGCACUCCAAACUCCCGGGCUCGAGGCAGGUAGGGGAGAUCGGAAUUCCUGGUGUAGCGGUGAAAUGCGCAGAUAUCAGGAAGAACACCUAUGGCGAAGGCAGCACUCUGGGACGGUACUGACGCUGAGACGCGAAAGCGUGGGGAGCGAACAGG
rnacentral:rRNA from 1 species